UACGUAGGGGGCAAGCGUUGUCCGGAUUUAUUGGGCGUAAAGAGCGUGUAGGCGGCUAGAUAGGUCCGUUGUGAAAACUCGAGGCUCAACCUCGAGACGUCGAUGAAACCAUCUGCUAGAGUCCGGAAGAGGAGAGUGGAAUUCCUGGUGUAGCGGUGAAAUGCGCAGAUAUCAGGAAGAACACCGGUGGCGAAGGCGCCCACUCGUGGGCGAAACUGACGCUGAGACGAAGACUGGGAGCAAACAGG
rnacentral:rRNA from 1 species